GGUGAACGCUGGCGGUAGGCCUAACACAUGCAAGUCGAACGGCAGCACAGUAAGAGCUUGCUCUUACGGGUGGCGAGUGGCGGACGGGUGAGGAAUACAUCGGAAUCUACUUUUUCGUGGGGGAUAACGUAGGGAAACUUACGCUAAUACCGCAUACGACCUACGGGUGAAAGCAGGGGAUCUUCGGACCUUGCGCGAUUGAAUGAGCCGAUGUCGGAUUAGCUAGUUGGCGGGGUAAAGGCCCACCAAGGCGACGAUCCGUAGCUGGUCUGAGGGGAUGAUCAGCCACACUGGAACUGAGACACGGUCCAGACUCCUACGGGAGGCAGCAGUGGGGAAUAUUGGACAAUGGGCGCAAGCCUGAUCCAGCCAUACCGCGUGGGUGAAGAAGGCCUUCGGGUUGUAAAGCCCUUUUGUUGGGAAAGAAAAGCAGCAGGUUAAUACCCCGCUGUUCUGACGGUACCCAAAGAAUAAGCACCGGCUAACUUCGUG
rnacentral:rRNA from 1 species